rnacentral:rRNA from 1 species
UACGUAGGGGGCAAGCGUUGUCCGGAAUCAUUGGGCGUAAAGCGCGCGUAGGCGGCCCGAUAAGUCCGCUGUGAAAGUCAAAGGCUCAACCUUUGAAUGCCGGUGGAUACUGUCGGGCUAGAGUCCGGAAGAGGCGAGUGGAAUUCCUGGUGUAGCGGUGGAAUGCGCAGAUAUCAGGAGGAACACCAAUAGCGAAGGCAGCUCGCUGGGACGGUACUGACGCUGAAACGCGAAGGCGUGGGGAGCGAACGGG